rnacentral:rRNA from 1 species
AUUGAACGCUAGCGGCAUGCUUAACACAUGCAAGUCGAACGAGUGGCGGACGGGUGAGUAAUAUCUGGGAACGUGCCCAAUAGAGGGGGAUAACUACUCGAAAGAGGGCUAAUACCGCAUACUAUUGGAUCUGCCCAUAUAGGAUUGGCUAGUUGGUGGGGUAAAGGCUCACCAAGGCAACGAUCCUUAGCUGGUUUAAGAGGAUGACCAGCCACCAUGGGACUGAGAAACGGUCCAGAUUCCUACGGGAGGCAGCAGUGGGGAAUUUUGGACAAUGGGGGAAAGCCUGAUCCAGCCAGCCCGCUGGUAUGAAGAAGGCCUUCGGGUUGUAAAGUACUUUGAGCAGGGAAGCGGUAUCUGCAGAAGAAGCACCGGCUAACUACGUGCCAGCAGCCGCGGUAAUUC